rnacentral:lncRNA from 1 species
ACUAAGCUACAGCUAAUAAAUAAAAGGAAAGUCCAUAGAGUCCAAUUUCAAAUAAAUCUAUAGUCUUAUUGCUACAAGUAAAACAAUAUUCAAAUCAAUCAAUCACUUAUACAUCUAAAUUAAAGGAAAAACAACAGGAAACUCAUGCAGUAAUAAUCCAGGAUCACUAUUUAUUUUCAAACAUGUUGUUCCAGGCAUUACAUACUACUGGAGGCCAAGGAUAUACCUGGAAUAUGAGUCAAAUAAGAUGAAGGAAAAAGUUUAGUAGUAGUAACGAGUAGAGGGUCAAACAGCAGCCGAGAAACAAAUUCAACAGUCCGUGAAGAGUUUGAAAUCAAACGGGACAAGGAAAUCAACCAUAAACAGCUUGAAUAAACCCAACUGAACUUGAAAUUGAACCUACAAACCUUCAGCAAUCAAACCGUGAGCUUGGAGAUACAAUUCAAUUACUAAACUCAAAAUUAACCUAUGAAUUUCAAUGGAAUAGUGUUUUUGGAGUUUUUUGUCUUAUAUAUUUUUUUUGUUUUGAGGAACUAAGGAUCUUAUCGAAGGGAAGAAAUUUUCAGAUUGCUUGAAUUACAGUUUUUGGAUUUGUUUUUUUUUUAAUUUCAAAUAUUAAGAGGUUUGAACUUGUGGAAUCUUUUGGGGGAAAUUUUCACAUUCAAACAUCAGUAUGAAGGCACUAAGCAUGACUU